rnacentral:misc_RNA from 1 species
UCCGGCUUAUCACCGGCAGUCCCACUAGAGUGCCCAACUGAAUGAUGGUAACUAAGGAUAAGGGUUGCGCUCGUUACGGGACUUAACCCAACAUCUCACAACACGAGCUGACGACAGCCAUGCAGCACCUGUGUUCAGGUUCCUUUCGGCACCUUCGCAUCUCUGCAAAUUUCCUGACAUGUCAAGGGUAGGUAAGGUUCUUCGCGUUGCAUCGAAUUAAACCACAUGCUCCACCGCUUGUGCGGGCCCCCGUCAAUUCCUUUGAGUUUUAACCUUGCGGCCGUACUCCCCAGGCGGAGAACUUAUCGCGUUAGCUUCGAUACUAACAGGUCAUGCCUGCCAACAUCUAGUUCUCAUCGUUUACAGCGUGGACUAC